rnacentral:rRNA from 1 species
UACGGGGGGGGGCGAGCGUUGUCCGGAUUUAUUGGGCGUAAAGAGCGUGUAGGCGGCCACACAGGUCUGCUGUGAAAACUCGAGGCUCAACCUCGAGCUGUCGGUGGAAACCGUGUGGCUAGAGUCCGGAAGAGGAGAGUGGAAUUCCCGGUGUAGCGGUGAAAUGCGCAGAUAUCGGGAAGAACACCCGUGGCGAAGGCGGCUCUCUGGGACGGUACUGACGCUGAGACGCGAAAGCGUGGGGAGCAAACAGG